UACGUAGGGGGCUAGCGUUGUCCGGAAUCAUUGGGCGUAAAGGGCGCGUAGGCGGCAUGACAAGUCACUUGUGAAAUCUCUGGGCUUAACCCAGAACGGCCAAGUGAUACUGUCGCGCUAGAGUGCGGAAGGGGCAAUCGGAAUUCUCGGUGUAGCGGUGAAAUGCGUAGAUAUCGAGAGGAACACCUGAGGUGAAGACGGGUUGCUGGGCCGACACUGACGCUGAGUGCGCGAAAGCCAGGGGAGCAAACGGG
rnacentral:rRNA from 1 species